rnacentral:lncRNA from 1 species
AUUGGUCAUGUGAGAGACUGAUCAAGACUAAGUCAAAGAGUGAAUCAAGUUGAUCAACACACAAAGCGUAGAAGAUGUACUGAGAGGGAUCAAGUGAUCCCAUGGUAUGGUAAGCAUUGUCAAUUACUCUUUGUGUACUAACCCAUUGUGAUAGCCUGGCUUAUUAGGGAUGAUAGACUACUCAUAUCAAUAAGAAAUUCCUUCUUUUUCGGGAUCCCAUUCAGACAGAACUCCAAAGUUAAGCAUGCUCAGCUUGAAGUAGUUUCAGGAUGGGUGACCGACAGGGAAGUUGCUCCCGGGUGCGCAUGAGUGAGGGCAAAGUGCGUAGAAAAGACUAGUAUUGAUCUGUGGGGCCAGUCUAGAUCCCGCCAGGAGUAACGACCACCGGCAGGUGUGUCCGGGGCAUUACAAGUUGGUAUCAGAGCCGACCCUCGCGACUACACGGAUGUUUGCGGAAAGGUGCGUGGUCAUGUUGUUCAUGAUGUUUGUGACCCGUCGUGGCACACGACAUGGCACAUGUACCGGACUGGAUGCACAGACGUAUGUGCCAAGAGGGAACGUGCCUGUGGCCCAACGAGGACGUCGGUUCCUCUGAGUGGGGGUGUAUGUGAUAGCCUGGCUUAUUAGGGAUGAUAGACUACUCAUAUCAAUAAGGAAUUCCUUCUUUUCUGGGAGCCCAUUCGAACAGAACUCCAAAGUUAAGCAUGCUUAGCUUGGAGUAGUUUCAGGAUGGGUGACCGACCGGGAAGUUUCUCCCGGGUGCGCAUGAGUGAGGACAAAGCGCGCAGAAAAGACUAAUAUUGAUCUGUGGGGCCAGUCUCGAUCCCGCCAGGAGUAACGGCCACCAGCAUGUGUGUCCGGGGCGUUACACCCAUGGUCUUCGUGCGAGUUCUUUGUGGGGUUAGGUUGCAGUGUGCAUGUUGAAGUGAUGCAUAAUGAAGAGAUCAAGUGCUUGAAGAUUGCCGUCCAUUGUAGUGACAAUGGACUUGUGAAGAUGUGUUGAAGAGUGGCUCACCCAUAGUGGAGUAUGGGGGAGCAAUCUACUAGUAUUCACCGAGCCAACGCAAUCAAGAAAGGUGGUCCAACUUGAGGAAGUCAAGAUCAUCUACUUCUAGCUCAAGUGGACUUUGUGCAAGGAAAAGGUUUGACCUUGAUAGGUUCUCUAUUUUACGGGUCUCAUGGUGGUAGUUCGGAGACCGGGUUAUAGGAUCGAUUGUCGUACUAUCAAGGGGGGCUCUCAAGUGAGUAGCUUAAUCGUAUCGUUCAUAGAGAGCUCAAACCAUUGCAUGCUUGCAUCAUCUUUCUUGGUUCUUGUUUAGUUUUAUCCUUGUGAGAUUUGGAGUUUAUGGUCAUCUUCUUGACAAGCUCGAGUUCAUCGAAAACGGAGUUCACAUGCUUCUUCUAUUGCGUUUUUGGUGUUGGAGGUUUUACCGGUCUUAUUCGAGGAAGGGUUCUCACCAUUUUCUUAUGGGCCUUUUCUAGUUUUCUUCUUAUUGUUAUUUCUAUCAAGAUUGUGUUAGACCUUGUCGCUAGCUUUCCAACAAACUUGGUCCCGUUGAAUUCGUAGUCCGCUUGCAGAAGUUGUGUCAGUUUUGGUGUCGUUAAAAAGGCUGCAGCAGUACUACCGCUCUUGGGAGCGGUACUACCGCUUGGAGAGGUACUACCAUGGCUACUUCUGCUCCGGACCAAAAACUCGUCAUAAGUCCAGUGGUGGUAGGCACAGAUGUAUUUUUUUAGUACCACUCGCAAGCAGUAGUACUGCUACCCUUAGCGGUAGUGCCGCUACCCCUAGCCGUAGUACUGUGAGGACGAGCGGUAGUACCGCUCCGACGGUUCUACCGCCUUUUGCCUCCUCGCUGUUGUUUUUCAAAGGGGAGCCACCGCCCUAGCGGUAGUACCACUCCCAUGAGCGAUAGUACCGCUCUGUGCGGGCUAUGAGCAUAACGGUUAGAUUUUUCCCCACCUAUAAAAGGGGGUCUUAUUCCCCAUUGAACCCUAUCCUUUGAGCUCGUGUUCUUCCCCCAUUGUUGACCUUCUUCGAGCUUGCUAUCUCUCAAUCCCUCCAUGGAUUCUUGCUAAUUUUUUUGGGGGGGGGGGGAGAGAGAGGAGAUCUAGAUCCACAUUUCCACCAAUCACUUUCUCCUCUAUGUGAGGGGAACCCCUGGGAUCUAGAUCUUGGAGUUACUGGUGUUCUCUUUCUUGUUCUUCCUCUCAUUUUCUUCCCUAGCAUUAGUUGCUUUGGUGGGAUUUGAGAGAGAAGGACUUGGGCACUCCGUGUGCCCUUUGCAUUGCAUUUGGUGCAUCGGUUUGAGUUCUCCACGGUGAUAUGUGGAAGUUACAAGUUCAGAAGCUUAUUACUCUUGGGUGCUUGGUACCCUUGAGCUUGUUCCUCUUGGGUGCUUGGGAGCCCUAGACGGUUGGUGGUGUUCGGAGCUCAAUCAUUGUGGUGUAAAGCUCCGGGCAAGCGUCGGGGUCUCCAAUUAGGUUGUGGAGAUCGCCCCGAGCAAUUUGACGGGUACCGGUGACCGCCCCCAAGGGUUGACAAAGUGUACGGGUUCGGUGACCGCCCCCAAGGGUUGCCAUUUGUAUGGGUUCGGUGACCGCCCUCAAGGGUCCCUUAGUGGAAUCACGGCAUCUUGCAUUGUGCGAGGGCGUGAGGAGAUUACGGUGGCCCUAGUGGCUUCUUGGGGAUCACUGUGCCUCCACACUGUUCCAAACGGAGAUUAGCAUCCGCAAGGGUGUGAACUUCGGGAUACAUCAUCGUCUCCGCGUGCCUCGGUUAUCUCAUACCCGAGCCCUUUACUUAUGCACUUUACUUUUGUGAUAGCCAUAUUGUUUCUUGUCAUAUAUCUUGCUAUCACUUAGUUGUUUAUCUUGCUUAGCAUAAGUUGUUGGUGCACAUAGGUGAGCCUAGUUGUUGUAGGUUUUGUGCUUGACAAAUUAACCGCUAGGUUUAUUCCGCAUUUGUUCAAGCCUAAUCCAUAAUUAUUUUAAAGCGCCUAUUCACCCCCCCUUUAGGCGACAUCCUCGAUCUUUCAGAAGGUGUACCCAAUAGUUUCCUUAGGAUAUCCUAUGAAGACGCACUUCUCCGAUUUGGGUUUGAGCUUAUCAGGCUGAAGCCUUUGGACGUAAGCAUCGCUUCCCCAAACUUUAAGAAACGACAGCUUAGGUUUCUUGCCAAGCCAUAGAUCAUACAGUGUCGUCUCAACGGAUUUAGAUGGUGCCCUAUUUAAUGUGAAUGCAGUUGUCUCUAAUUCAUAACCCCAAAAAGAUAGUGGUAAAUCGGCAAGAGACAUCAUAGAACGCACCAUAUCUAAUUAAGUACGCUUACGACGUUCGGAUACACCAUUACGCUGUGGUGUUCCAGGUGGCGUGAGUUGUCAAACAAUUCCACAUUGUUUUAAAUGAAGGCCAAACUCGUAACUCAAAUAUUCACCUCCACGAUCAAAUUGUAGAAAUUUUAUUUUCUUGUUACGAUGAUUCUCUCUUCACUCUAAAAUUCUUUGAACUUUUCAAAUGUUUCAGACUUGUGUUUCAUUAAGUAGAUAUACCCAUACCUAAUCAAAUCAUCUAUAAAGGUUAGAAGAUAACGAUACCCUCCGCGUGCCUCAACACUCAUCGGACCGCAUACAUCGGUAUGUAUUCUUUCCAAUAAGUCUUUAGCUUGCUCCAUUGUUCCGGAUAACAGAGUUCUAGUCAUCUUACCCAUGAGGCAUGGUUCGCAAGUAUCAAAUGGUUCAUAAUCAAGUGAUUCCAAAAGUCCAUCCGCAUGGAGUUUCUUCAUGCACUUUACACCAAUAUGACCUAAACGGCAGUGCCACAAGUAUGUUGCACUAUCAUUAUCAACUUUGCAUCUUUAGGCAUCAAUAUUAUGAAUACAUGUAUCACUAAGACCGAGAUUCAACAAGAAUAGUCCAUUCAUCAAUGGUCCAUGACCAUAAAAGAUAUUACUCAUAUAUAUAGAACAACCAUUAUUCUCUGACUUAAAUGAAUAACCGUCUCGUAAUAAACAAGAUCCAUAAAUAAUCUUCAUGCUCAACGUUGGCACCAAAUAACAAUUAUUGAGGUCUAAAACUAGUCCUGAAGGUAGAUGUAGAGGUAGCGUGCCGACGGCGAUCACAUCGACCUUGGAACCAUCCCCGACGCGCAUUGUCACCUCGUCCUUAACCAAUCUUCGUUUACUCCACAGCUCCCGUUUCGAGUUACAAAUAUGAGAAACUGAACCAGUAUCAAAUACCCAGGCACUGCUAUGAGCAUUAGUAAGGUACACAUCAAUAACAUGUAUAUCAAAUAUACCUUUGUUCACUUUGCCAUCCUUCUUAUCCGCCAAGUAUUUGGGGCAGUUCCGCUUCUAGUGACCAUUUCCUUUGCAGUAGAAGCAUUCAGUUUCAGGCUUGGGUCCAACUUUGGGCUUCUUCACGGGAGCGGCAACUUGCUUGCCAUUAUUUUUGAAGUUCCCUUUCUUUCCCUUGCCCUUUUUCUUGAAACUAGUGGUCUUGUUAACCAUCAACACUUGAUGCUCCUUAUUUAUUUCUACCUCCGCGGCCUUAAACAUUGCAAAGAGCUCGGGAAUCGUUUUUGUCAUCCCUUGCAUAUUAUAGUUCAUCACGAAGCCUUUGUAGCUUGGUGGUAGUGGCUGAAGAAAUCUGUCAAUAACACUCUCAAGUUGAAGAUCAACUCCUAGAUGAGUCAAGUGGUUAUGAUACCCAGACAUUUUGAGUGUGUGUUCACUGACAGAAAUGUUCUCCUUCAUCUUGCAGCUAUAGAACUUGUUGGAGACUUCAUAUCUCUACCCGGGCAUUAGCUUGAAAUAUCAACUUCAGCUCUUGGAACAUCUCAUAUGUUCCAUGACGUUCAAAAUGUAUUUGAAGUUCCGGUUCUAAGCCAUAAAGCAUGGCACACUGAACUAUUGAGUAGUCAUUAGAUCGGGUCUGCCAGACAUUCAUAACAUCUGCAGUAGCUCCUGUAGUAGGUCUGUCACCUAGCGGUGCAUCAAGGACAUAAUCCUUUCAUGCAACAAUGAGGAUAAUCCUUAAGUUACGAGCCCAGUCCGUGUAGUUGAUACCAUCAUCUUUCAACUUAGCUUUCUCUAGAAACACAUUAAAAUUCAGGGGAACGGUAGCACGGGCCAUUGAUCUACAACAUAGAUAUGCAAAAACUAUUAAGACUAAGUUCAUGAUAAAUUAAGUUCAAUUAAUCAAAUUACUAAUGAACUCCCACUUAAAUUAACAUCCCUCAGGUUAUCUAAGUGAUACAUGAUCCAAAUCAACUAACCCAUGUCCGAUCAUCACGUGAGAUGGGGUAGUCAUCAAUGGUGAACAUCUCUAUGUUCAUAUCUACUAUAUGAUUCACGUUUGACCUUUUGGUCUCUAGUGUUCCGAGACCAUGUAUGUACAUGAUAGGCUCAUCAAGUUUAACCCAAGUAUUCUGCAUGUGGAAAACUGUCUUACACCCGUUGUAUGUGAACGUAGAGUCUAUCACACCCGAUCAUCACGAGGUGUUUUGAAACGAUGAAAUUUGGCAAUGGUGCAUACUCAAGGAGAACAAUUUUAUCUUGAAAUUUAGUGAAGGGAUCAUCGUAUAAUGCUACCGCCCUUCUAAGCAAAAUAAGAUGCAUAAAGGAUAAACAUCACAUGCAAUCAAAAUAUGUGACAUGAUAUGGCCAUCAUCAUCUUGUGCUUUUGAUCUCCAUCUCGAAAGCAUCGUCAUGAUCUCCAUCUUCACCGGCUCGACACCUUUAUCUCCAUUGUUGCGUCGGGGUUGUCUUGCCAACUAUUGCUUCUACAACUAUUGCUAACACAUAGCGAUAAAGUAAAGCAAUUACAUGGCGCUUGCAUUUCAUACAAUAAUUAAGAGAUAACCGUAAGGCUCCUUCCGAUUGUCGAUAUUAAAAAAGAUGAUCAUCUCAUACAACAAUGUAUAUCACAUCAUAUCUUUACCAUAUCACAUCACAACAUGCACUGCAGAAACAAGUUAGACGUCCUCUACUUUGUUGUUGCAAAUUUUACGUGGCUGCUACGGGCUUCUAGUAAGAACCAUUCUUAACUACGCAAAAACCACAAAGGUGAUUAUCAAGUUUGUUGUUUUAACCUUCUUCAAGGACUGGCCAUAGUCAAAUUCGAUUCAACUAAAGUAGGAGAAACAGACACCCGCCAGCCACCUUUAUGCAAAACAAGUUGCAUGUCAGUCUGUGGAACUAGUCUCAUGUGCGUGGACAUGUAAGGUUGGCCCAGGCCGCUUCAUCCCCCAAUUCCGCUAAAUCAAAAUAAUACGUUGGUGGUAAGCAGUAUGACCAUCACCGCCCACAACUCCAUUGUGUUCUACUCAUGCAUAUCAUCUACGCAUAGACCUGGCUCGGAUGCCAUUGUUGGAAAACGUUGCAUGGAAAACAAAAAAAAUUCUACGCACACGCAAGAUCUAUCCAUGGAGAUUCAUAGCAACGAGAGGGGACACCAUGUCUAUGUACCCUCGUAGACCAUUUAGCAGAAGCGUUUAUCAACGCGGUUGAUGUAGUCGAACACCUUUGUGAUCCAACCGAUCAAGUACCGAACGCACGACACCUCCGUGUUCAGCACACGUUCAGUUCGAUGACGUCCAUGCCUUCUUGAUACAACAAGACGGGUGAAGUAGUAGAUGAGUUCUGGCAGCACGAUGGUGUGGUGAAGGUGGUGAUGCAACUAUCUCCGCAAGGCUACGUCGAGCACUACGAAAAUAUGACCGAAGACGAACUAGAGGGAGAGGGGUGCCGCACACGGCUUGGGGAUCGUGGUGUGUGUUGCCCCUCUCUCUCCUCACAUAUAUAUAGGUGGGGGGAGGAGGGGAGGUAGCCUAGGACUCCCCCAAGGGGCUGGCUGUCACAUCCUAGUUAGCCAUGCAUUAGAGUGUUGCAUCAUGUUUCCUCUUUCAUCAGAAACUUGAAAUGGGGAUCUGUGAAACCCUCAGAAUCAUUUUUGAAAAUGAUCCAAAUAAAAAUUUCUCCAAAAGGUCCAAGAAAAUGCUCAUGUUGCUCUCUGAAAAUAUUGGACAGAGAUAAAAAUCAAACCAAUAUUUUCAAGAGCUCAUAGGUAUUUAUUUUGGGCAUUUGGAAUUAAUGCAUAAUUAUUUGCUUUGGAAAUAUAUUAUUUAUAUAUAUUAAUAUAUGUCCAAAUAUUAUGCCAAUUAUAAAGGAGCUCUGGAAUAAUAUAUCUAGCUCCUGCAAAAAUUGGCAUAAGGAAAAAAAAUGAUUUAAUAUUUUAUUUAAAUCAAAACAAAUGUCAGAAAUUAGAAAACAGAAAAUAAUUAAAAGGGAGAAGCUUACCUGGGCUCCUCCCUGUGCAGCCCAGCCAGCUGGCCGGCCCAGCCAGCAGGCGGCCCAGCCCACCACUGCAGCCCUCCGUCGUCUUCCUCCCCUCGCCCCGAAGCUGCUGCGUGCUCGCACGCGCAUGGCCGCGCGGCCACCUCCUGCUUGCCGACGAGCUCCUGGCCGCGUGGACGACUCCCGCAGGCCGUCCCGAUCCCCCCCUGCUCUCUCUCACUCUCCCCCGGCUCUUCCCUCCUCUCCCUCGCGCUCUCUCUCACACGGCCGAACACCACCGUCGCCGCCGUUCGCCAUAGCAGUCGUCUCCGGCCACCCCUUGCUCCCCCGACUAGCUUAGGAGCUCCGCCUCGACCCCCUCUUCCCUCUCCACCGACCCACAGCUCCCCGGAAGCCCUGCAUCGCCGCCACGUCGCCGUUCCCCUCUUCGGGCUCCGACCAUCGUCACCGUCGAAUUCGUCGUCUCCAGCGCGUCCCCGAGCCCGCUAACCAUCCCUGCAGCUCCGCGGUGAGCCCCCGGAUCAUUUUCCCCUUCUCCCCUGGUCUUUUUCGACCUCUAGGCCCUAGCCCCACCUUGGCCGAGAGCUCCACGCCGCCGGCGAUGUCGCCGUCGUGGCCACAGUCACCGUAGCACCCAACCGAGCACACUAUCGUGCUCCACACCUCACCAGGAUCACGCAGCACGCACUAACGCCUCCCCAAACCCCCUGCAACACCGAUCCCGACCGCACCCGAACUCCGGCGGCCGCAGCCGAGCUCGCCGCCGUCGACUCCGGCCACCCCAGGCCCAGCCACAGCCACCGUUCGACGCGCGGGAGCAAGAGCUUUCCAACGAGCCCAAGCACGGCCUCGCCCGUGCCCUGUAGCGCGAUCCCGCGUCGCGCCGCCGUCUCGGGCCUCGCCGGCGUCACGUCGCCGGUGGGUUUGACCCACUUUGACCACGACAGGACACCCCCUGAGUCCCUGACAGGUGGGCCCAGCCCUGUAGCUAAUUAGGAUUAGUGCUAACCACUAAUGGUUAACCCCCUGACACUGACAGUGGGCCCCCAGCGCCACUAAACCCCUAAUUAGGAUUAAACUAACCCUGUUUAACCCCCCUGUCACUGACGUGUGGACCCCACACGUCAGGUUUGACCCCAGACAGCCGCAGUUGACCACUGACGUCAUGCUGACGUCAUGCUGGCGCAAUAAUUAUAAUUUCUGGAUUUAAAUUUAAUCAGGAAAUUCCAGAAUAUUAUUUAAACUUCAAAAAUUCAUAACUUUUAUUCUGUAACUCCAAAUUGGACAAAUUAUAUAUGAAAAAUGAUCAGAAAAAUCCAAUCUAUCCAUCUGUACUAUUUUCAUGCAUGAUCAAACAAGUUAAAUUGAUGUUUUAAGCAGAACAAGGAAAAGCACUUUAAAAGGCCAUGUUUGAGUUUGAAAUUUGAAUCUUUGAUUCAAAUUUGUUCAAACCCUUCUGGUUUUAGUUGCAUUAGCCCAACACACUCAUAUUGCCAUGUUUCAUGCAUGCAUCAUAUUGUUGCACAUUGUUUGGUGAUGCUUGUGUAUCGAUGUCCUUUGCGACAGGUUCUGCCCCCGAGGAGUACCGUGAUUACCCUAACGAAGAACCGUAUCAGUGCAUCGAACCAUCAGGCAAGCAACCAAUCAAUUGAUCAUAUCGAUACAAUCCCAUGUUCUCGCUCCUGCUCUCUUUUACUGCAUUAAGACAACGCGUUUCAAACUGCUGUGUGCUACGGUAGUUGAACCCAUUUCCUCUGCAUGACCUGUCAUUGCCACAGUAACUAGAUGAAACCCACUAGCAUGUGUAGGAGUUGAUUGAGCCAUAUGUAUGUGUUGUUCCUACCUUGCUAUGCCUGCUAUGCUUAGAGUCGUGUCAGGUCUGGUUCAUCGGGGUGAUGGGCUAGAGUGAAAUAAUUAUGCCGGUAAUGAGAGUGGUGUGAUGAACACGAUUUGGUAAAGGUAUCGAUGAGAGGCCAUGUAGGAGUACAUGGUGGGUUGUUUCAUUGAAGCCGACCUUAAGCACUGAGAUCUGUAUGUGUGAUUUAAGAAUCAGCUACUACCAUGCAUUGGGCCCGAAACCAAUGGACCCUCUCGGCUUCUUAUUCACCCUAGUUCUCCGUCCAGGAGUUGCAAGUAGUUUCUGGUGUUUGUAGCCUACUGGAGGCCGUGGACAGCGCUGACCGUAGGGGUGGGCUGUGAUGCGGUAGGUACGUGGCCGGGUGUACCGAAUACUCGUUAGGUAUCUUGGGAACCCUGUUCACAUCGUUCGGGGCCGUAUGGGAAACCUCGGCCGGACUCCCUGCGGAUGGAACCUGAAUAGGCGAUAAACCUGGACUGGAGGCUUAGGUGAUUAGGUAGGUCGUGGCCGACACCCACGUUGGGCUUCCGCUCGAAGGUUGCCGAGUACAUGUCGUGUAAACGACGGUAAGUGGUGAGAGCGUGUAUGAAGAUGUACACCCCUGCAGGGUUAACAUGAUCUAUUCGAAUAGCCGCGUCCGCGGUAAAGGACUACUUGGUUGCCUAUACAGUUCAUAGACAAGUAAAUGGAAACUACUAAAAGCCUCAAGAUAAGUGUGAGUGCCGAGGAUGGCUCUUCCGUAGGAAGACGGAGGUGGAUCCUCGGUAUGGUAUUGAAGUGGUGAGUAGUGGACUCGUGUGCGCAAAACCUUUUCAAAUUGAAGUAUCGUAGGAUAGCCUAGCCAAGAGUCAAAGCUGGCUUGCUGCAAUAACUCCACCAACCCUUCUUGAUACUAUGCAUGUAUGUAGGAUCUGAUGUAAGUCUUGCUGAGUACCUUUGUACUCAUGUUGCUGUAAUCUACAUUUUUACAGAAGACGCUGCAACCCCUUCUGAUGGGUUCUAUGUAGACGUUGACAUCAACGAGUAGGCUAAAGACCCAGGUGGUGACCCUGAGCUUGUGAUGGACCACGUAGUAUAGCUAGGCUUUCCAAGCCUCUUUUAUUUUACUAGUUGUCUGUACUCAGACAAUGUACUUCCGCUGCUGGUUUGUAUGACUAUAUGACUUGUAUGUUGGGUCGUGAGACCCGUAUCUUUGUGUAUGCUAUGUAUGGCUCCCUGAGCCUUAAAUAAAGUACUUGUGUCAUAGAGUCAUGUUGUGAUGCUUCAUUGUAUUUGCACAUAUCGAGCAUAUUGUGUGUAUGAUUGAAAUGCUUGGUAUGUGUGGGAUCUGACUAUCUAGUUGUUUAUCUUUAGUAGCCUCUCUUACCGGGAAAUGUCUCCUAGUGUUACCGCCGAGCCAUGGUAGCUUGCUACUGCUCUGGAACACUUAGGCUGGCCGGCAUGUGUCCUUCUUCGUUCCUGUGUCUGUCCCUUCGGGGAAAUGUCACGCUUUGAGUACCGGAGUCCUGUUAGCCCGCUACAGCCCGGUUUACCGGAGUCCUGCUAGCCCAGUGCUACAGCCCGGACCCAUUUGCUGAUGACCGACACGUUCGGAGCUAGGUCAUGGAUGUCUAUCCCUGUAAGUCUGUGCCACUUUGGGUUUACGACUAGUCAUGUCAGCCCGGGCUCCUUAUCAUAUGGAUGCUAGCGACACUAUCAUAUACGUGAGCCAAAAGGCGCAAACGGUCCCGGGCAAAGGUAAGGCGACACCCGUGGGAAUACCGUGCGUGAGGCCGCAAAGUGAUAUGAGGUGUUACCGGCUAGAUCGAUGUGACAUCGAGUCGGGGUCCUGACAGCGUUGGUAUCAGAGCCGGACUGCCUGUAGGUUCUCCAAGCCAAACUGGUCGAUGUUGAGUCUAGAAAUUCUUUAGUUAUAUGUAGGGGAAUUGUUUGUGGGUUGGAACGUAAGGCUCUUUUUACUCCUUUAUCUUAUAACAUUCUGAUCUGAGUCAGUCCAUUCUUCCACCGGGGGUUAAGGAAUUAGGAUCUGUUCUCUCUAUCAGGAUCACGAGUUACUAAUCAGUAGUACCUUAUAAGUUGAUGGAUUCAAGCCUAGUUUAGUUUUACUACCACAUGAUGUUGUUAGAAUGGUUUCAGAACUUUGAUAUGAUGAUGUUGAGUGUGUACAAAAUCCUUUGUCAAAUGUCUCAAAAUCCUUUUUGAGCAUUUACAGCUGUUAUGCUGCCGAAAUUUUGCUAGAAAUUCUAAUGCCUUUGCAUUAUGAUUGUGCUUUCAGAUGGCCACUCGCGACCUCAAUCAAGUGGUUAGCCUGACUCGAUGCCUAGAUGUACCCGGCCAUACUGCCAAGUUGGUCAGGGUAAUGACUGAGGCUGGAUACCGUUGGUAUCCUGAGUACACGGUCGAAGAGCAAUUCCGAGACUUUAACCAAAGCCAGUAUCUCUGCACUGUCAGGAUAUUUCCAUCUUAUCCUGGAUCCACCGAGCCUCUUCACUGCUCCUAUUGACUCGGGGUUACUAUUGAGAUGGCUGUGCAGGACGCCGCCUACUCUAUGAUGACCAUUAUGCGAGUCAGAUCUGGUCUAUUUCGGGACUCUGAUUUCCGGUAUAUGCCAGGAUCACUUCCGGGAGCACAAGGGUAUCUCCAGGCUAUUUAUGCUGACCCCACUCAGGAGGAUUCACGGACUCGCACCACUGCUGAGAUGCUCGAGGAUAAGGACCGUGAAAAUCGGGCCUUGAGGUUAGAGCUCUUCAAUACCCGUGCUGACCACUGGGCCACAUUGACUCGGUUCGCACCGGCGGUGCAAGCUGGAUAUUCAGAUAUGCGCGAUCUCUAUCCUGUGAGAUCUGCUCUGCCAGACGUGAUGGGUUGGCGUGAUGUAGGAGGCAUCACCCCACCUCGCGGUCCCCGCAGGCCACCGUCUGUUGGUCCAAGGCCUCAUCCUAGCCCCUAUGGUCCACAAGCUCCGCGAGAUCGUCUGUUUCCGGAUGAUCAUGUUGAGCUUCCAGGCUAUGGAGGUGACUUCUACGAGGACUACUACGGAUCGGUCUGAGUUAGCGGUAGUAUCACUAGUUCGCACUAGCUGUGUCUUCUAUCGUUCCGCGUGACUCGUGGGAUAUGAACUAGUUUGUACUCUUCCGGAGGUGUAGAAAAAUAAUGUAUAGGAGCUUGGGAUGCCUCCGAUGAGAUGUAAUCCUCUUUUCACCGUAUUAGUACUUUGUUUGGUCUUGUACUAAACCCUGUAUGGUGUGUAUGACGAUGGAAUAAAAGAAGCAGUUUCUGUAUCUACCAUGUCAUACGGAUGAUCAUCUUGCAUUCCGAAUUAUUCCUUACAUUAGGUAUCCUAUGUCGGAAUUUUAUCAUCCUGACUAAAUCAUUGUCUUGUUUACCUAGGAUGGUCAACAUGCGCACUAACCCUGCUCCUCAAGAGCAGGCCGAAGGCAGUGAAGUCAGGGAUGCAAAUCUGCCUCAUCCUCCUUCACUAGCCGAGGUUAUGAUGGAAGCUGAGAGAAACAAGCGGGAGACCAACCGUUUGUUGGAGCGUAUUGAACAGAACACAGCACACCAUCAGAGGACUAACGUGGUGUCACUCAGUGAUUUUAUCAAAUUACAUCCACCCACGUUCCACCACUCCGUCGAGCCUCUCGACGCUGAUGACUGGCUUCGCAGUAUCGCUCACAAGCUGCGUUCCGCGCUGGUAGCGGAGGCUGACAAGGUCACCUUUGCUGCAUAUCAUCUUGAAGGCCCCGCCAGUCUAUGGUGGGAGAAUUAUGGAGCUAUGCGCCCAGCAGGCCAUGUCACUACUUGGGCUGAAUUCAGCGAGGCUUUCCGUGAACAUCACAUUCCGGAGGGUCUCAUGGACCGUAAACGUGAGGAAUUCUGCAAUUUCACCCAAGGCCGACUUUCUGUGGAUGUUUAUAGCAGGGAGUUUGGUAAUCUCGCACGAUAUGCAACCGAGGAAGUUUCUACUGACGCCAAGAAGCAAGCAAGGUUCCGUAAGGGACUUAGUCCUGAGCUUCGCCGCGACCUCCGUCUGCAUGAGUGCACAUCUUUUCAGAAACUUGUCAAUAAAGCCAUCAGUGCUGAAACUGGUCAGACUGACUAUGACGCAACACGCAAGCAUGGCUGUGAUAUGGGUUCCUCAUCCGGUGCUGGUCCUCAGAAGCGCCGCGUGUGGGUGCCCAACACCGCCCUGCCACCCAGGUUCACACCGAGGCCAUCUUUCCAGGUGCCUCGCCCUGUUCAACAGUCUGCACCGGCCAAGCCCUAUGGGGGUCCAACUAACAAUGCUCCUCCACGUACCAGUUCCGUGACUUGUUUCAAGUGUGGGGAAUCUGGUCACUAUAUGCGUGAGUGUCCUCAGACCAACCCCAACCAAUCUGCUAAAGCUGUUGGCCGUGGCAAGUCGACAGGGAAAAUAUUCCACGCCAAACCGGUCACCGCUUCACGUGGCCAUGUCAACUGUAUCUCUGCCGAAGAAGCUCAAGAGGAUCCCAACGUCGUUCUCGGUACGCUUCUUGUAAAUUGCCACCCGGCAUCUGUUCUUUUCGAUACAGGAGCCUCUCAUUCUUUUAUAUCCGAAAAUUAUGCUCGUUUGCAUAACGUUGCAUUCUGUGACAUGCCAUCCACUAUGGAAAUUUCUACCCCUGGUUCUAGAUGGCAGACCUCUAGGGUAAGUUAUGGAAAUGAAAUCCAAGUCGACAGACUUGUUUUUCUCGCGUCUUUGAUAGCCCUUAAAUCUUCAGAUAUUAAUAUCAUUUUGGGUAUGGACUGGAUGUCAGCUCAUCAAGCCAAAAUUGAUUGCUUCUCUAGGACUGUUCAACUCACCCAUCCUUCGGGGAAGAUAGUCAAUGUCUUGACCCAAAUAGCCAAGCGACAAUUAUAUUCUCUUAACGCCAGCCCUUUGCCAGACCUUGAGGACAUUCCGGUAGUCCGUGACUUCCCGGAUGUCUUUCCAGAGGAAUUGCCAGGUGUUCCACCUGACAGGGAUGUUGAGUUCGUAAUCGACCUCAUCCCCGGAACCGUUCCGAUUGCUAGAAGACCUUAUAAGAUGGCACCACUAGAACUAGCCGAGCUUAAGAAACAACUCGAUGAAUCCUUGAAAAAGGGUUUCAUCCGCCCUAGUUCAUCUCCGUGGGCUUGCCCCGUCCUAUUCGUCAAGAAGAAGGAUGGUACGGACCGGAUGGUUGUAGAUUACUGACCUGUCAAUUUGGUCACAAUCAAGAACAAAUAUCCACUUCCCAGGAUCAACGAUCUGUAUGAUCAGCUCGCUGGAUCCUCAGUCUUCUCCAAGAUGGAUUUGAGGUUGGGCUACCAUCAAAUCAAAAUCAGAAACGGGGACAUUCCUAAAACGGCCUUUGUUACUCGUUAUGGCCAAUACGAGUACACCGUCAUGUCCUUCGGUUUAACCAACGCUCCAGCCACCUUUUCUCGGUUAAUGAACUCAAUCUUCAUGGAGUAUUUGGAUAAAUUCGUCGUGGUUUACCUCGAUGAUAUACUCAUCUACUCCAAGAACGAGGAAGAACAUGCCGAACAUUUGAGGCUAGUGUUGAAGAAACUUCGAGAGCAUCGCCUUUAUGCCAAAUUUUCUAAAUGUGAAUUCUGGUUGUCAGAAGUGACCUAUCUGGGUCAUGUAAUAUCUGGUAAAGGUAUUGCUGUUAACCCUGAGCGAGUUCAAGCCGUCCUUAAUUGGACUCCACCCGAAUCGGUCAAGCAAGUUCGGAGUUUUCUAGGCUUAGCGAGCUAUUGUCGUCGCUUUGUCGAGAACUUCUCCAAAGUUGCUAAGCCUCUAACCGAACUCCUCAAGAAAGAUAAAAAGUUCGAAUGGACUCCACAAUGUGAGCACAGCUUUCAGGAACUGAAAAGAUGCCUGACCUCUGCUCCCGUACUAGUACCGCCAGACUUCUCCAAGGACUUUGUUAUCUACUGCGACGCCUCGUGACAAGGACUGGGUUGCAUUCUCAUGCAAGAUCGACACGUAAUCGCCUACGCUUCACGGCAAUUGCACCCACAUGAGGAGAAUUAUCCUACUCAUGAUCUAGAGCUUGCAGCCGUAGUCUAUGCACUUAAGACCUGGCGUCAUUACCUCCUCGGUAAUCGUUGCGAAAUAUUCACUGAUCACCAAAGUCUGAAGUACAUUUUCACCCAACCGGAUCUGAAUCUCAGACAAAGACGUUGGGUUGAAUUGAUCACAGACUUCGACUUAGGAAUAACCUAUACCCCAGGGAAAGCCAACGUCAGGGCUGAUGCGCUAAGUCGUAAAUCUUAUUGUAACAACCUGAUGUUACAACAAAGUCAACCGCUUCUCCAUGAGGAAUUUCGGAAGCUUAACCUUCACAUUGUACCUCAAGGUUUUCUUUCCACCUUGGUGGCAAAACCUACCCUUACGGAUCAAAUUAUCAAAGCACAGAAGGUAGAUCCGGGAAUCUCCCGCAUCAAGAGGAACAUUCAGAAAGGAAUUGCGAAUUGUUUCUCCAUUAAUGAUCAAGGAGUCGUAUACUUCGGGAAUCGACUAGUGGUUCCCAAAGUGCGCAACCUAAGGCGAUUAAUCCUUAAGGAAGCUCAUGAAUCUCCUCUCACCAUUCAUCCCGGUAGUACUAAGAUGCAUCAGGACCUACGCCAGAGGUUCUGGUGGACUAGGAUGAAGAGAGAAAUUGCUCAGUUUAUUGCUAAUUGCGACGUCUGUCGUCGUGUAAAAGCAGAGCACCAACGGCCUGCUGGCACCCUUCAACCCUUAGCUAUUCCUGAAUGGAAAUGGGAUAAAAUUGGUAUGGAUUUCAUUACCGGUUUUCCCAGGACCAAGAGAGGGAAUAAUGCUAUUUUCGUCGUGGUCGAUCGUCUUUCCAAAGUAGCCCAUUUCUUACCUGUUCGUGAGAGUAUAACCGCUAGUCAGCUGGCAGAUUUGUACAUCUCCCGAAUAGUGUCUCUCCAUGGUGUUCCUUUGGAAAUUAACUCGGAUCGAGGAAGUCUUUUCACCUCUGAAUUUUGGGAAAGUUUCCAAAAUGCUAUGGGAACUCGUCUCUCCUUUAGCACCGCUUUCCACCCUCAGUCGAGUGGUCAAGUGGAACGCGUCAACCAAAUUCUAGAAGACAUGCUUCGAGCCUCUGUUAUCUCAUUCGGAAUGGAUUGGGAGAAGUGCCUUCCAUUUGCCGAAUUCGCUUACAACAACAGCUAUCAAUCUAGCUUGGGUAAAGCCCCUUUUGAAGUUCUCUAUGGACGACGGUGUCGAACACCCCUUAACUGGUCAGAGACCGGGGAAAGACAAUUCUUUGGCCCGGACAUGAUUCAGGAAGCAGAAGAACAAGUUCGCAUCGUUCGUGAAAAGUUGAAAACAGCCCAAUCUCGUCAAAAGAGUCAAUAUGACCGAAAACAUAAGGCUAUUACUUUCGAGGUUGACGAGAAGGCUUAUCUUCGGGUCACCCCUCUGAAGGGAACCCAUCGUUUCGGUAUCAAAGGCAAAUUGGCUCCUCGUUACAUUGGACCUUUUCGCAUUCUCGCCAAACGAGGAGAAGUUGCCUACCAGUUGGAACUACCUCCGCAUCUCUCCAGAGUCCACGAUGUCUUCCACGUUUCUCAACUCAGGCGUUGCUUCUCGGGUCCUAUCCGUGAAGUGGACCACGAAACGCUUGAUCUCCAAGAUAAUCUUACAUAUCGAGAGUACCCUAUUCGUAUCCUCGAUCAGGCCGAACGUACCACCCGACGUCAUAAUAUCAAGUUUCUCAAAGUUCAAUGGUCGCACCAUUCUGAGGAUGAAGCAACCUGGGAAAGGGAGGAUCGUCUUCGACUCGAGUAUCCCGCCUUCUUCCCGGAGGAACCCAAAUCUCGGGACGAGAUUCUUUUGAGUGGGGGUGAGUUGUCACAUCCUAGUUAGCCAUGCAUUAGAGUGUUGCAUCAUGUUUCCUCUUUCAUCAGAAACUUGAAAUGGGGAUCUGUGAAACCCUCAGAAUCAUUUUUGAAAAUGAUCCAAAUAAAAAUUUCUCCAAAAGGUCCAAGAAAAUGCUCAUGUUGCUCUCUGAAAAUAUUGGACAGAGAUAAAAAUCAAACCAAUAUUUUCAAGAGCUCAUAGGUAUUUAUUUUGGGCAUUUGGAAUUAAUGCAUAAUUAUUUGCUUUGGAAAUAUAUUAUUUAUAUAUAUUAAUAUAUGUCCAAAUAUUAUGCCAAUUAUAAAGGAGCUCUGGAAUAAUAUAUCUAGCUCCUGCAAAAAUUGGCAUAAGGAAAAAAAAUGAUUUAAUAUUUUAUUUAAAUCAAAACAAAUGUCAGAAAUUAGAAAACAGAAAAUAAUUAAAAGGGAGAAGCUUACCUGGGCUCCUCCCUGUGCAGCCCAGCCAGUUGGCCGGCCCAGCCAGCAGGCGGCCCAGCCCACCACUGCAGCCCUCCGUCGUCUUCCUCCCCUCGCCCUGAAGCUGCUGCGUGCUCGCACGCGCACGGCCGCGCGGCCACCUCCUGCUUGCCGACGAGCUCCUGGCCGCGUGGACGACUCCCGCAGGCCGUCCCGAUCCCCCCUGCUCUCUCUCACUCUCCCCCGGCUCUUCCCUCCUCUCCCUCGCUCUCUCUCUCACACGGCCGAACACCACCGUCGCCGCCGUUCGCCAUAGCAGUCGUCUCCGGCCACCCCUUGCUCCCCCGACUAGCUUAGGAGCUCCGCCUCGACCCCCUCUUCCCUCUCCACCGACCCACAGCUCCCCGGAAGCCCUGCAUCGCCGCCACGUCGCCGUUCCCCUCUUCGGGCUCCGACCAUCAUCGCCAUCGAAUUCGUCGUCUCCAGCGCGUCCCCGAGCCCGCUAACCAUCCCUGCAGCUCCGCGGUGAGCCCCCGGAUCGUUUUCCCCUUCUCCCCUGGUCUUUUUCGACCUCUAGGCCCUAGUCCCACCUUGGCCGAGAGCUCCACGCCGCCGGCGAUGUCGCCGUCGUGGCCACGGUCACCGUAGCACCCAACCGAGCACACUAUCGUGCUCCACACCUCACCAGGAUCACGCAGCACGCACUAACGCCUCCCCAAACCCCCUGCAACACCGAUCCCGACCGCACCCGAACUCCGGCGGCCGCAGCCGAGCUCGCCGCCGUCGACUCCGGCCACCCCAGGCCCAGCCACAGCCACCGUUCGACGCGCGGGAGCAAGAGCUUUCCAACGAGCCCAAGCACGGCCUCGCCCGUGCCCUGUAGCGCGAUCCCGCGUCGCGCCGCCGUCUCGGGCCUCGCCGGCGUCACGUCGCCGGUGGGUUUGACCCACUUUGACCACGGCAGGACACCCCCCUGAGUCCCUGACAGGUGGGCCCAGCCCUGUAGCUAAUUAGGAUUAGUGCUAACCACUAAUGGUUAACCCCCUGACACUGACAGUGGGCCCCCAGCGCCACUAAACCCCUAAUUAGGAUUAAACUAACCCUGUUUAACCCCCCUGUCACUGACGUGUGGACCCCACACGUCAGGUUUGACCCCAGACAGCCGCAGUUGACCACUGACGUCAUGCUGACGUCAUGCUGGCGCAAUAAUUAUAAUUUCUGGAUUUAAAUUUAAUCAGGAAAUUCCAGAAUAUUAUUUAAACUUCAAAAAUUCAUAACUUUUAUUCUGUAACUCCAAAUUGGACAAAUUAUAUAUGAAAAAUGAUCAGAAAAAUCCAAUCUAUCCAUCUGUACUAUUUUCAUGCAUGAUCAAACAAGUUAAAUUGAUGUUUUAAGCAGAACAAGGAAAAGCACUUUAAAAGGCCAUGUUUGAGUUUGAAAUUUGAAUCUUUGAUUCAAAUUUGUUCAAACCCUUCUGGUUUUAGUUGCAUUAGCCCAACACACUCAUAUUGCCAUGUUUCAUGCAUGCAUCAUAUUGUUGCACAUUGUUUGGUGAUGCUUGUGUAUCGAUGUCCUUUGCGACAGGUUCUGCCCCCAAGGAGUACCGUGAUUACCCUAACGAAGAACCGUAUCAGUGCAUCGAACCAUCAGGCAAGCAACCAAUCAAUUGAUCAUAUCGAUACAAUCCCAUGUUCUCGCUCCUGCUCUCUUUUAAUGCAUUAAGACAACGCGUUUCAAACUGCUGUGUGCUACGGUAGUUGAACCCAUUUCCUCUGCAUGACCUGUCAUUGCCACAGUAACUAGAUGAAACCCACUAGCAUGUGUAGGAGUUGAUUGAGCCAUAUGUAUGUGUUGUUCCUACCUUGCUAUGCCUGCUAUGCUUAGAGUCGUGUCAGGUCUGGUUCAUCGGGGUGAUGGGCUAGAGUGAAAUGAUUAUGCCGGUAAUGAGAGUGGUGUGAUGAACACGAUUUGGUAAAGGUAUCGAUGAGAGGCCAUGUAGGAGUACAUGGUGGGUUGUUUCAUUGAAGCCGACCUUAAGCACUGAGAUCUGUAUGUGUGAUUUAAGAAUCAGCUACUACCAUGCAUUGGGCCCGAAACCAAUGGACCCUCUCGGCUUCUUAUUCACCCUAGUUCUCCGUCCAGGAGUUGCAAGUAGUUUCUGGUGUUUGUAGCUACUGGAGGCCGUGGACAGCGCUGACCGUAGGGGUGGGCUGUGAUGCGGUAGGUACGUGGCCGGGUGUACCGAAUACCCGUUAGGUAUCUCGGGAACCCUGUUCACAUCGUUCGGGGCCGUAUGGGAAACCUCGGCCGGACUCCCUGCGGAUGGAACCUGAAUAGGCGAUAAACCUGGACUGGAGGCUUAGGUGAUUAGGUAGGUUGUGGCCGACACCCACGUUGGGCUUCCGCUUGAAGGUUGCCGAGUACAUGUCGUGUAAACGACGGUAAGUGGUGAGAGCGUGUAUGAAGAAGUACACCCCUGCAGGGUUAACAUGAUCUAUUCGAAUAGCCGCGUCCGCGGUAAAGGACUACUUGGUUGCCUAUACAGUUCAUAGACAAGUAAAUGGAAACUACUAAAAGCCUCAAGAUAAGUGUGAGUGCCGAGGAUGGCUCUUCCGUAGGAAGACGGAGGUGGAUCCUCGGUAGGGUAUUGAAGUGGUGAGUAGUGGACUCGUGUGCGCAAAACAUUUCAAGUUGGGGUAUCGUAGGAUAGCCUAGCCAAGAGUCAAAGCUGGCUUGCUGCAAUAACUCCACCAACCCUUCUUGAUACUAUGCAUGUAUGUAGGGUCUGAUGUAAGUCUUGCUGAGUACCUUUGUACUCAUGUUGCUAUAAUCUACAUUUUUACAGAAGACGCUGCAACCCCUUCUGAUGGGUUCUAUGUAGACGUUGACAUCAACGAGUAGGCUAAAGACCCAGGUGGUGACCCUGAGCUUGUGAUGGACCACGUAGUAUAGUUAGGCUUCCAAGCCUCUUUUAUUUUACUAGUUGUCUGUACCCAGACAAAGUACUUCCGUUGUUGGCUUGUAUGACUGUAUGACUUGUAUGUUGGGUCGUGAGAUCCGUACCUUUGUGUAUGAUAUGUAUGGCUCCCUGAGCCUUAAAUAAAGUACUUGUGUCAUAGAGUCAUGUUGUGAUGCUUCGUUGUAUUGCACAUAUCAAGCAUAUUGUGUGUAUGAUUGAAAUGCUUGGUAUGUGUGGGAUCUGACUAUCUAGUUGUUUAUCUUUAGUAGCCUCUCUUACCGGGAAAUGUCUCCUAGUGUUACCGCUGAGCCAUGGUAGCUUGCUACUGCUCUGGAACACUUAGGCUGGCCGGCAUGUGUCCUUCUUCGUUCCUGUGUCUGUCCCUUCGGGGAAAUGUCACGCUUUGAGUACCGGAGUCCUGUUAGCCCGCUACAGCCCGGUUUACCGGAGUCCUGCUAGCCCAGUGCUACAGCCCGGACCCACUUGCUGAUGACCGACACGUUCGAAGCUGGGUCAUGGAUGCCUGUCCCUGUAAGUCUGUGCCACUUUGGGUUUACAACUAGUCAUGUCAGCCUGGGCUCUUUAUCAUAUGGAUGCUAGCGACACUAUCAUAUACGUGAGCCAAAAGGCGCAAACGGUCCCGGGCAAAGGUAAGGCGACACCCGUGGGAAUACCGUGCGUGAGGCCGCAAAGUGAUAUGAAGUGUUACCGGCUAGAUCGAUGUGACAUCGAGUCGGGGUCCUGACAGCGUUGAAUUAAAUCAGGAAAUUCCAGAAUAUUAAUUAAACUUCAAAAAUUCAUAACUUUUAUUCUGUAACUCCAAAUUGGACAAAUUAUAUAUGAAAAAUGAUCAGAAAAAUCCAAUCUAUCCAUCUGUACCAUUUCCAUGCAUGAUCAAACAAGUUAAGUUGAUGUUUUAAUCAGAACAAGAAAAGGCACUUUAAAAGGCCAUAUUUGAAUUUGAAAUUUGAAUCCUUGAUUCAAAUUUGUUCAAACCCUUCUGGUUUUAGUUGCAUUAGCCCAACACACUCAUAUUGCCAUGUUUCAUGCAUGCAUCAUAUUGUUGCAUAUUGUUUGGUGAUGUUUGUGUAUCGAUGUCCUUUGCGACAGGAUCUGUCCCCGAGGAGUACCGUGAUUACCCUAACGAAGAACCGUAUCCGUGCAACGAACCAUCAGGCAAGCAACCAACCAUCUGAUCAUAUCGAUACAAUCCCAUGUUCUCGCUCCUGCUCUCUUUUACUGCAUUAAGACAACGCGAUUCAAACUGCUGUGUGUUACGGUAGUUGAACCCAUUUCCUCUGCAUGACCUGUCAUUGCCACAGUAACUAGAUGAAACCCACUAGCAUGUGUAGGAGUUGAUUGAGCCAUAUGUAUGUGUUGUUCCUACCUUCCUAAGCCUGCUAUGCUUAGAGUCGUGUCAGGUCUGGUUCAUCUGGGUGAUGGGCUAGAGUGAAAUGAUUAUGUCGGUAAUGAGAGUGGUGUGGUGAACACGAUUUGGUAAAGGUAUCGAUGAGAGGCCAUGUAGGAGUACAUGGUGGGUUGUUUCAUUGAAGCCGACCUUAAGCACUGAGAUCUGUAUGUGUGAUUUAAGAAUCAGCUACUACCAUGCAUUGGGCCCGAAACCAAUGGACCCUCUCGACUUCUUAUUCACCCUAGUUCUCCGUCCAGGAGUUGCAAGUAGUUUCUGGUGUUUGUAGCCUACUGGAGGCCGUGGACAGUGCUGACCGUAGGGGUGGGCUGUGAUGCGGUAGGUACGUGGCACGGUGUACCGAAUACCCGUUAGGUAUCUCGGGAACCCUGUUCACAUCGUUCGGGGCCGUAUGGGAAACCUCGGCCGGACUCCCUGCGGAUGGAACCUGAAUAGGCGAUAAACCUGGACUGGAGGCUUAGGUGAUUAGGUAGGUUGUGGCCGACACCCACGUUGGGCUUCCGCUUGAAGGUUGCCGAGUACAUGUCGUGUAAACGACGGUAAGUGGUGAGAGCGUGUAUGAAGAAGUACACCCCUGCAGGGUUAACAUGAUCUAUUCGAAUAGCCGCGUCCGCGGUAAAGGACUACUUGGUUGCCUAUACAGUUCAUAGACAAGUAAAUGGAAACUACUAAAAGCCUCAAGAUAAGUGUGAGUGCCGAGGAUGGCUCUUCCGUAGGAAGACGGAGGUGGAUCCUCGGUAUGGUAUUGAAGUGGUGAGUAGUGGACUCGUGUGCGCAAAACCUUUUCAAAUUGAAGUAUCGUAGGAUAGCCUAGCCAAGAGUCAAAGCUGGCUUGCUGCAAUAACUCCACCAACCCUUCUUGAUACUAUGCAUGUAUGUAGGAUCUGAUGUAAGUCUUGUUGAGUACCUUUGUACUCAUGUUGCUGUAAUCUACAUUUUUACAGAAGACGCUGCAACCCCUUCUGAUGGGUUCUAUGUAGACGUUGACAUCAACGAGUAGGCUAAAGACCCAGGUGGUGACCCUGAGCUUGUGAUGGACCACGUAGUAUAGCUAGGCUUUCCAAGCCUCUUUUAUUUUACUAGUUGUCUGUACUCAGACAAUGUACUUCCGCUGCUGGUUUGUAUGACUGUAUGACUUGUAUGUUGGGUCGUGAGACCCGUAUCUUUGUGUAUGCUAUGUAUGGCUCCCUGAGCCUUAAAUAAAGUACUUGUGUCAUAGAGUCAUGUUGUGAUGCUUCGUUGUAUUUGCACAUAUCGAGCAUAUUGUGUGUAUGAUUGAAAUGCUUGGUAUGUGUGGGAUCUGACUAUCUAGUUGUUUAUCUUUAGUAGCCUCUCUUACCGGGAAAUGUCUCCUAGUGUUACCGCUGAGCCAUGGUAGCUUGCUACUGCUCUGGAACACUUAGGCUGGUCGGCAUGUGUCCUUCUUCGUUCCUGUGUCUGUCCCUUCGGGGAAAUGUCACGCUUUGAGUACCGGAGUCCUGUUAGCCCGCUACAGCCCGGUUUACCGGAGUCCUGCUAGCCCAGUGCUACAGCCCGGACCCAUUUGCUAAUGACCGACACGUUCGGAGCUGGGUCAUGGAUGCCUGUCCCUGUAAGUCUGUGCCACUUUGGGUUUACGACUAGUCAUGUCAGCCCGGGCUCCUUAUCAUAUGGAUGCUAGCGACACUAUCAUAUACGUGAGCCAAAAGGCGCAAACGGUCCCGGGCAAAGGUAAGGCGACACCCGUGGGAAUACCGUGCGUGAGGCCGCAAAGUGAUAUGAGGUGUUACCGGCUAGAUCGAUGUGACAUCGAGUCGGGGUCCCGACACUGGCGGCCACCUUGGGCUCCUGCCCUUGGCCGCGUCCCCCCUUCCUUCUUGAGCGUGCGGGGGAAGGCAGGAGGGGGUGCCCCCCUUUUCCUUCCUCUUAGGUGCAGGGAAGGCGGGAGGGGCUAGCCUUGGUGUGCUCCCCUCCCUUGGCCCAUAUGGCCCAUUAACCUCCUUAGGCCUCCCGGAACCCCUUCCGGUGAUCCGAUGACUACCUGGUAUGUCCCAAAACCUUUCCUGUGACCAAAUAGCAUCGUCCUAUAUAUCAAUCUUUACCUCCGGACCAUUCCGGAGCUCCUCCUCAUGUCCAUGAUAUCAUCUGGGACUUCGAGCAACAUUUGGUCACCAAAUCACAUAACUCAUGUAAUACUAUAUCAUCAACGAAUGUUAAGCGUGCGGACCCUACGGGUUCGAGAAUGACGUAGACAUGACUGAGACGCCUCUUCGGUCAAUAACCAAUAGCCGGACCUGGCUAUCCAUAUUGGAGUUGUAAAUUUGUAAAUCUUUUUCAACAUUAUUGAGUCUUUCUAACAAUUGCAUAAAUUUUGUCCACCAUCCUCACCAAGCUCCACCAAAGGCAUAUGUGAGAAUUGAUGAGAUACAGUACCAAUUGUGCUAUUUCCUUGCCGUACUGUUGAGUGAUAUUGAUCCAUUUUCAACAUCGGGUAAGGUACAUUUGGUCUAGUUCUUUUAAUUAUCCCACUCACAUUUGCUUGAGAUGAUGGAUAGGCCAACUACUUCUUCAAACCCACUCUUCAUCGAGCAUGAUAAGGACCCGAACAACUACGUCACCAAGAGCCACCUCUUCGGUGCGCAAAGAGUUUUGCAUCAAGAGAAUGAAGCAUUGAGCAAACGCAUCAACCUAUACUCGCUAUCGAUUUGCAAUAAUCCGAGCAACAUACAAGGAACUACUUUGAAAACAAGCUUAACACAAAAAAAGAAGAGAGCAAUGCAAGAAUGGACGAGAUUUGUGCCUUUUGGUCAAUCGCUCUUCUACAUCUUCGUCCUACUCAAGACAGAGCCACUCAAGUCGACAUUCUUCGCAAUCUUCUUCUGAUGCAAGUACUCCACGAGCUUGUUCGCAUCGUCGUCAAAACCAUCAAGUUCACCCAACUCCACAAAACCCAUUCCAUGGCAAUGGUUUACAAUGCUGUCUCCAUGAACGUGAAUGCAUAUGGCACCAAGGUAAUGAACCUCCGGUCCAAGAGCAAGCUCCAACGCGCCAAAACCGACAAGAACAACAAGAUGGUGAUGCCCCUCGACAAGAGAAACAUCAUUGUGAGGAACAAACCCUUGAAGCCCAACAUGCUCUACGCGAAGCUACACCAGCCGUUGACGAGCGCAACCGCCAAGCACGACUUCAAGAAGAGGCCCUUUGACGAGAGUGACAAGAAGAAGCCGCACGCCUUGAGGAGCGCCAAGAAAUGAGGAACCGUGCAAGAAUUCCACAACCUCAAUGACAAAACAAUCAAGCGGAGCACGAAGAGAAAGUGGCUCAAGACCCACCUCCACGCCAAGAGCAUCAUAACCAUUGACCCCAACACAAUGAAGAGCAACACUACGACAGCAUCAAGUUCACCAUGCCUAAGUUCUCCAGAAGCAACAAUCCCGAAGACUACCUUUCAUGGGCAUUGAAGGUCGACAAGAUAUUUUGUUUGCACAACUAUGAAGAAAAAAAGAAGAUCACCAUGGCUUCUCUUGAGUUCCAACAUUAUGUCCUCAUUUGGUGGGAGCGAGUCAUUGAGCGUCGAGCGGUGCUAUGUCUUGAGCUUGCGUUGGUUUUCCCCGAAGAGGAGAGGAUGAUGCAGCACAGUAGCGUAAGUAUUUCCCUCAAUUUUUGAGAACCAAGGUAUCAAUCCAGUAGGAGGUCACAUGCAAGUCCCUCGUACCUGCACAACACGAUAGCAACUCGCAACCAACGCUUAGGGGUUGUCAAUCCCUUCAUGGUUACUUAUGAGAGUGAGAUCUGAUAGAGAUAAUAUUUUUGGUAUUUUUGAUAGAUAGAUGCAAAGUAAAAAGGUAAAGGCAAAGUAAAAACAAAGCAAGUAAAUAAAGUGAUAUAGAUUGAUAUGAUGAGAAUAGACCCGGGGGCCAUAGGUUUCACUAGUGGCUUCUCUCAAGAGCAUAAGUAUUCUACGGUGGGUGAACAAAUUACUGUUGAGCAAUUGACAGAAUUGAGCAUAGUUAUGAGUAUAUCUAGGCAAUGAUCAUGUAUAUAGGCAUCACGUCCGUGACAAGUAGAUCGAAACGAUUCUGCAUCUACUACUAUUACUCCACUCAUCGACCGCUAUCCAUCAUGCAUCUAGAGUAUUAAGUUAAAAACAGAGUAACACUUUAAGCAAGAUGACAUGAUGUAGAGGGAUAAAUUCAUGCAAUAUGAUAAAAACCCCAUCUUGUUAUCCUCAAUGGCAACAAUACAAUACGUGCCUUGCAACUCUUUCUGUCACCGAGUAAGGACACCGCAAGAUUGAACCCAAAGCCAUGCACUUCUCCCAUUGCAAGAACUACCAAUCUAGUUGGCCAAACCAAAUGGAUAAUUCGAAGAGACUUGCAAAGAUAACUCAAUCAUACAUAAAAGAAUUCAGAGAAGAAUCAAAUAUUUUCCAUAGAUAAUACUGGAUCAUAAACCCACAAUUCAUCGGUCUCAACAAACACACCGCAAAAAGAAGAUUACAUCGAAUAGAUCUCCACGAGAGAGGGGGAGAACAUUGUAUUGAGAUCCAAAAAGAGAGAAGAAGCCAUCUAGCUACUAGCUAUGGACCCGAAGGUCUGAAGUAAACUACUCACACUUCAUUGGAGGGGCUAUGGUGAUGAUGUAGAAGCCCUCCGUGGUGGAUGCCCCCUCCGGCGGAGCUCCGGAACAGGCCCCAAGAUGGGAUCUCAUGGAUACAGAAGUUUGCGGCGGUGGAAUUAGGUUUUUGGCUCCUGUUCUGAUCAUACGGGGAUACGUAGGUAUAUAUAGGAGGAAGGAGUAUGUCGGUGGAGCUCCGAGGGGCCCACGAUGUAGGGGGGCGCGCCUAGGGGGGGCGCCCUCCACCCUCGUGACUGCCUCGUGGCUUUCUUGACGGAGGGUCCAAGUCUCCUGGGUCUUAUCUGAUGAGAAAAUCACGUUCCCGAAGGUUUCAUUCUGUUUGGACUCCGUUUGAUAUUCUGUUUCUUCGAAAUACUGAAAAAGGCAAAAAACAGCAAUUCUGGGCUGGGCCUCCGGUUAAUAGGUUAGUCCCAAAAAUAAUAUAAAAGUGGAAAAUAAAGCCCAUUAUAGUCCAAAACAGUAGAUAAAGUAGCAUGGAGCAAUCAAAAAUUAUAGAUACGUUGGAGACGUAUCAAGCAUCCCCAAGCUUAAUUCCUGCUCGUCCUCGAGUAGGUAAAUGAUAAAAAAAAGAAUUUUUGAUGCGGAGUGAUACUUUGGCAUAAUUUUAAUGUAAAUCUUCUUAAUUGUGAUAUGAAUAUUCAGAUCCGAAAGAUUCAAGACAAAAGUUCAUAUUGACACAAAAAUAAUAAUACUUCAAGCAUACUAAUCAAAGCAAUCAUGUCUUCUCAAAAUAACAUGGCAAAAGAAAGUUCAUCCCUACAAAAUCAUAUAGUUAGGCUAUGCUUCAUUUUCGUCACACAAAGAUGUUCCCAACUUCUAUACCCCCGAUGACAAGCCAAGCAAUUGUUUCAUACUUAAAUAAUCUCAAACUUUUUCAACCUUCACGCAAUACAUGAGCGUGAGACAUGGAUAUAGCACUAUGGGUGGAAUAGAAUAUGAUGAUGGGGAUUGUGUGGAGAAGACAAAAAAGGAGAAAGUCUCACAUCAACGAGGCUAAUCAAUGAGCUAUGGAGAUGCCCAUCGAUUGAUGUUAAUGCAAGGAGUAGGGAUUGCCAUGCAACAGAUGCACUAGAGCUAUGAAUGCUCAACAAAAGAAAACUAGUGGGCGUUCAUCCAACUUGCUUGCUCAUGAAGACCUAGGGCAUUUUGAGGAAGCCCAUCGUAGGAAUAUACAAUCCAAGUUCUAUAAUGAAAAAUUCCCACUAGUAUCAAUAAGACAACUUAAGAGACUCACUAUAUGAAAAACAUGGUGCUACUUUGAAGCACAAUAUAUGAGACUCACUACAUGAAGAACAAGGUGCUACUUUGAAGCACAAUAUAUGAGACUCACUACAUGAAGAACAAGGUGCUACUUUGAAGCACAAGUGUGCAAAAGAGAUAGUAGCAUUGCCCUUUUUUUUGGGGCCUUUCUUUUUUUCUUUUGGCCUUUCUCUUUUUUUAUUUGGGCAAUGCUCUAAUAAUGAUGAUCAUCACACUUUCAUUGGUUACAACAUAAGGAUUACAACUCGAAACUAGAACAAGAUAUGACUCUAUAUGAAUGCCUCCGGAGGUGUACCGGGAUGGUGCAAUGAAUCAAGAGUGACAUGUAUGAAAAAUAAUGCAUGCUGGCUUUGCCACAAAUACGAUGUCAACUACAAGAUCAUGCAAUGGCAAUAUGACAAAAGUAAUGCAUGUCACGAGGAUGAUGGUGGAAGUUGCAUGGCAAUAUAUCUCGGAAUGGCUAUGGAAAUGCCAUGAUAGGUAGGUAUGGUGGCUGUUUUGAGGAAGAUAUAAGGAGGUUUAUGUGCGAUAGAGCGUAUCGUAUCACGGGGUUUGGAUGCACCGGCGAAGUUUGCACCAACUCUCAAGGUGAGAAAGGGCAAUGCACGGUACCGAAGAGGCUAGCAAAGGCGGAAAGGUGAUAGUGCGUAUAAUCCAUGGACUCAACAUUAGUCAAAAGAACUCAUAUACUUAUUGAAAAAAUUUAGAAGUCAUCAAAAAUCAAGUACUACGUGCAUGCUCCUAGGGGGAUAGAUAGGUAGGAAAAGACCAACGCUCGUCCCCGACCGCCACUCAUAAGGAUGCACAAGCCAGGUACACUUCAUGUUUCAAAUUUGUUACACAACUUUAACCAUACAUGCAUGCUACUGGACUUGCAAACUUCAACACAAGUAUUUCUCAAAUUCAUAAUCACCCAACUAGCACGACUUUGAUAUUAUCACAUCCAUAUCUCAAAACAAUUAUCAAGCAUCAAACUUAUCUUAGUAUUCAACGCACUCAAAAGAAAGUUUCACAUAUCUUGAAUACCAAGUAUAUUAACAUUAAGCAAAUUACCAUGCUAUUAAAGACUCUCAAAAUAAUCUAAGUGAAGCAUGAGAGAUCAAGUUUCUUUAAAACAAAUCCACCACUGUGCUCUAAAAAGAUCUAAGUGAAGCACUAAAGCAAAAAUUAUCACGCUCAAAAGGAUAUAAGUGAAGCACUAUGAGCAAAAACUAUCAAGCUCAAAAGAUAUAAGUGAAGCACAUAGAGUAUUCUAAUAAAUUUCAAUUCAUGUAUGGCUCUGUCAAAAGGUGUGUACAGCAAAGAUGAUUGUGGUAGACUAACAAGCAAAGACACAAAUAAACCAAGACGCUCCAAGCAAAACACAUAUCAUGUUGGUGAAUAAAAAUAUAGCUCCAAGUAAAUUACCGAUGGAAGUGGACGAAAGAGGGGAUGCCUUCCGGGGCAUACCCAAGCUUUGACUUUUUGGUGUCCUUGGAUUAUCUUGGGGGUGCCAUGGGCAUCCCCAAGCUUAGUCUCUUGCCACUCCUUGUUCCAUAAUCCAUCAAAAGAAUUCACCCAAAACUUGAAAACUUCACAACACAAAACUCAACAGAAAUCUCGUGAGCUCCGUUAGAGAAAGAAAACAAAAGACUACUUCAAGGUACUGUAAUGAACUCAUUCUUUAUUUAUAUUGGUGUUAAACCUACUGUAUUCCAACUUCUCUAUGGUUUAUAAACUAAUUUAUUAGCCAUAGAUUCAUCAAAAUAAGCAAACAACACACAAAAAACAGAAUCUGUCAAAAACAGAACAGUCUGUAGUAAUCUGUAACUAACGCAAACUUCUGGAACUCUAAAAAUUCUACCAAAAUAUUAAGUCCUGGAAAAUUUGUUUAUUGAUCAGCAGAAAAAAUAAUCAACGCAAAAUCACUCUCCAGUAAAAAAUGACAGCUAAUCUCGUGAGCGCUAAAGUUUCUGUUUUUCAGCAGAAUCAAAUCAACUAUCAUCGUAGGUUAUCCUAUAGGUCCUACUUGGCACAAACACUAAUUAAAACAUAAAACCACAUCCAAACAGAAGGUAGAUGGAUUAUUUAUUGCUAAACAGAAGCAAAAACAAAAAACACAAAAUAAAAUUGGGUUGCCUCCCAACAAGCGCUAUCAUUUAACGCCCC